AUGCUCUUCCCUGAGAAGCACCUGGCGUCUUACCUUUCCCUGCUGGCCUGCAUUGCAGUCUCCCUCGCCGACGUACCGUCAGUACUGAAAGGGGACACACAGCACCGUAGAUGGCCGGGCAGGCUUGAUGUCGUCUUGCUUGAUCCUUCAAGACCUUCCUCACCCCUGGAAAACGAUGGCGUUUUUAACGAGGCAGGCAGAGAGGAUUAAGGCUGCUGACCGGCUGCGCAGAAAUCUUUGCCGUUUAAAGCUACCCAGCUUCUCAUGCCACAACGAACCCAAAUGUUGAUACGGACUCUGACCUGCAGAGCAGUAAGUGAUUGCUCGGGGUGGCGUUGUCCUGACGGUACCUGCAGAGCGACGGCGCCUCUCCCCGUGAUUACUCCGGUUUUCUGUACGGCAUCAUGAUGCUGCUGAGUUCAUUGGUGCGCCAGCACUCGUGUCGGGUGGAGGUUGUCCUGUCGGCGUGGUCUUGUCGGCUCAAAAACGCGACGGAGGUUUAGGGGCACUGGUUAUGGGGAGCCUGACCUCUGUAGAGCUGGUUUGUUCUGCAGUUGAUUGGAUGCCCAUUUUCAACCUAAAGUUGGAUUUCCCUGGGGUUUUGUUAGUUUGUAAAUGCUGCAGUGUGCUAUGUGCAUGUACAACGUGUCAAUGGGCGAAGUAAGACCGAGCAGUACACGUCCUCCAUCUGAUGGGCCUGUGGGUACUAGGGGACUGUGCCGUGCUAUGUAGGUGCUCUGGAGG
rnacentral:lncRNA from 1 species